CAAGAGUAGCAACAGUAAUGUUUACAACAGCAAAGUCUAUUUAUAUUACAUAUGCUUUCUACAUGUUCACAUGCUUGUUCAACAGGUGUACUAAUCAGGUGGCUGAGGCAAGAUCCAUUUGAACAGGAAGAAGUCUAAUGUUGGCUAGCACAAAAAAAUCGGUGUUUCUGCACCUUAGAGGGAUGAGGCAGAUGAUGCUCUGUAGCUGUGUCAGUGCAAGAUAGAAAGGGCAGGACGAAAGGGGUUGUCUAAGAUGGAGUUCAGUUUAGUCCUCCUCCUCUCCUGCGCUAAGGCCUCCAGGGUGUUCAGACUCAGCCCUGCAACAAAGACAGCCUUUAUCACCAGUUUGUUUGUCCUGUCUGCAUCCCCAGCAUUGAUGUUUUCGCCCCAGCACACCACUGCACACAACAGUGUGUUAGCCACCACAGAUGAGUAGUCUGAAAAAUCUGGAGAAGACACACACAGUGUGCACAGUGCCUCCAUGUUAUCUGCACAGUCCAGAAAUGUACUGAAAUAAAUGGAAAAAGGUUCCAAGACGUCCA